AAACAUGAUGGGAACAGUAGAAAGAAAGAUAGGUGCAACGGAAAUAAAAGACAACAGAUGAAAAGAAGAAAAUUUUAUUAAAUAGGAGGACUAGUACAAAAAAAGGAAAAUUUAAACAUUGCCCUCAACUGGCUGAUCAGAGGUCCCUUCUGCGUCCUCUUCCGCUUUGUCACUGGCUUCCUCGAUAGGGGCAUGAGUAGUUGGCUUAGAUUCUGGUGGAAAGAAGAAGUUGUCUCAUUCCUUCCACUUUUUCUAGAAUUCCUCCAACUCAGUCCCAAAAUGAUUCAUCAUAUCAAAAUCCAUAUCAACAUUGUUGAAACUAUGCAUGCAACUAAAGUUGACUUGGCUCAGAUCAAAAGGCCCCACGAUGACUUAGGCGUGAAGGAUGUGGUUAGACUGCAAUUUGGGAAUGUAAUUUUGUAUCCCCAUCGUGGUUUCUACCUUUUCAUGCUUCAGGGCUUUAUUGUUUUCCUUCUACACCCUUUCUAGGUCCACCAAACAUUGUUCUUCUAAAGAAGUGGUCUGGCUCUUUAGUUGGUGUAUCUUUUCUUUAGAAUCUUCCUUAAGGGAAUUUUAUUUUGUUUCCUAGCUAGAGACAGAUUCAGUGAGCUCAUUGUUUUGGUGGAUUGUGGUCUCAUAAGUUUGGUGAAGCUGGGCUAGUUCUUGAUUUUUGGAAGUCAAGAUCUUUUUUAGUUCAACUCGUUUAGCUUCACUUCCACUAUAAUAUUGGCGGAGGGCCCAACCAAGGAGUCCGUAUUAUUCCAUCAUAACUUGGUAAGUAUCCACUAACUCUGGAAAAGUUGAUUGGUGGGCUUCAGAAGAAAGGAAGGCGCGGUUCUUCAACACUUGAGGAAAACUCAUCUCCCAUAUUUGGUUGACUUAAAAGGGAGAGAAAGGGGACUGACCUAUGUUGGCAUGGUUUCUCUACGGGAAUAAGGUAGAUACCCGACCAGAGGAAGAAGGAAUUGGAAUUGGACCAAGUGGAGAAGUCAGCAGUACAGAAUGGAAAGUGCUGGGAGUGGGUUCUUUAGGAAGAGGUGGAGAAACAAGAGUUAAGUCCACAAGAGGGGCAGACUUUGAUUGUAUCUCGGGGUGAGAAGUGAGGGCUGGAGGAGUAACCUCUCUUCCUAGAUUGAAUAGUCCCUUGUCGCGCCUACGGUGGACCAGUAUACUUCCACUACUCUCUCCAGUACUUUGAGAGCCCCCUCUAGCCCUUAGCCUGUUGCGAAUGCUACUGCCCGGUUGCACCCUUUAAUUCACCACUACAAUGAUCUCAUUCUCUCUCUCCAUCAAGGCUUCCACAUCCUUACCACUUGAGGUUUAUGAUGGGAUGGAAGAUUGAGCAGAACCUGCAACAGUAAGAUUAGGGUCAGCCAUAUGAAGAACCAAACCUCUACUGGAAUACUUACUAAUGAAAAUUGCUGGCGAGAUAGACUAGUGUCGUACGCGCAACUUGUAUACGGAGUAUAAAAAUUGUGGGGGUUCAUCUUUCCUCCUCACCAACACAAGGGCUAGGUCAUCAGAGGCAUUGUAGGGCCAUCUUAUUUCGGCAAAGAGUACAACUUAGGGAUUUAGAACGACAAAAAUGUGCAAGUGUACAAAGUCAUGGCAAGUAAUAAAGUGAUAAGUAUCAAGUAUCGUCUCCAAGGGAUGGUCAAACAAUUUUUUGUGAGAAAUUAAAACUUGAACAAAUUGGUGAUGGAAAAAUAAUAUGAGUUGAAAAUGUGGGGUAAAUAAAUAAAAGUGAAUUAACUAACUAAUUUAAUGAACUAAAAUUUAUCUAAGUAUGUAAUUAAAAAUUAAAAUAGAAAAUGCAGUUUAAGAGUUUAUCACAUGGCAUUCUUGUGUUAGAACAAUCAUCCUUCCUAGCUUAGAAUCAUUCAUAUUGUUAAAAGAUUUUACAGAGAUUCCAUGAAUAAAUUGAUCAUUUAUUAACCCUAAUUAAAUUGAGUAAAAAUAUUUAACUUAAUUAAUUACUAAACCUAUCUCACAUAUUUCUAUGUUUAAUAGACUUAAAAUUUUCAUAAGCAAAACAUAUUAUAGGGUUAUGUAAGGUAAAAAUAGUUUAGGUAUUAUUACAUAUUUAAUGCAUACAUGAUUAUACAUUACACCAUAUAAGUAUUUUAUCAAUUAAUCAAAAUCUUGUUCAUAUUAAUUAAUUAAUUCAUAAAUUUCUUCACAUUAAACAUGCAUAAGAAACUUAAUUGUGAUUUUACUUGUACGAAUAAAUAGAUCAAAAGCACAGAACAUCUUUUAACAUAUGAAUAAAGCAAACUAUGGAAAUUAGAUCAUUCUAACACCAACGAAUUUAAGCAUCCAUGAUUAUAUUGAAAAUCAAAUACUUAGUUGAAAUCAUGUUUAUGAAUUGAACAAAAAAAAAUAUUGAAAGGGAAGAAGAAACUCUAGCCAAUUCUGGAAGAUCCCAAGGCAUAAAAUGCUUACUCCUUUUGUUCUUCUUUCUUGCCACCACAAUUAAGCUAGGAAAAUCUUAAUAUAGCCGAAUAUGGGCUACUUUCAAGUCUGUGCAAUAAUCUUUUUCAGAGGGAAGAACUACGGAAUGGAAAAAAGAGAAAAAAGAACACAAGUGGAGAGGAAAUGAAUAGAGAAUGGAUGGCUGAAUGAGAU
rnacentral:lncRNA from 1 species